GCAUGGCCGAAAGCCUCAGGUUUCUGGAGGAAGGUUCGUCCGCUCCAGGUUAGUCGGGAGCUAAGGUGAGGCCUAACGGCGUAGCCGAUGCACAGACGGUAGAGAUUCCGUCACCACCAAAAGAGUUAAGCACAGGGACACAUUUGAAGUCUCGGAGCCGGGUGUUGGUUCCGGUAGCGAUCGAGGGAAGUUAGUACCGAAGUCCGGGAUGGAAGAUGGCGAGAAAAGCUGUGUGUAUUUCUGCGGUGCCCGUACCGCAAACCGACACAGGUAGGUAGGAAGAAGAUUCUAAGGCCAACGGGAGAAGGGUUGUUAAGGAACUCGGCAAAUUGACCCCGUAACUUCGGGAGAAGGGGUGCUCCAGAGAUGGAGCCGCAGAGAAUCGGCCCAAGCAACUGUUUACCAAAAACACAGGUUUGUGCUAAAUCGAAAGAUGACGUAUACGAGCUGACGCCUGCCCGGUGCUGGAAGGUUAAGAGGAGAUGUGCAAGCAUUGAAUCGAAGCCCCAGUGAACGGCGGCCGUAACAAUAACGGUCCUAAGGUAGCGAAAUUCCUUGUCAGGUAAGUUCUGACCCGCAUGAAAGGCGUAAUGAUUUGGGCACUGUCUCGACAGCCCGCCCGGCGAAAUUGUAGUACCGGUGAAGAUGCCGGUUACCCGCGACAAGACGGAAAGACCCCAUGGAGCUUUACUGUAGCCUAAUAUUGGGUUUCGAUGUUGCAUGCACAGGAUAGAUGGGACACAGGGAAACAAGUGCUUUGGCAUUUGUGGAGUGGCCGUUGGGAUACCAUCCUUGCGAUAUUGGAAUUCUAACCUGCGCCUUUGAAUCAAGGCGGGGGGCAUUGUUAGGUGGGCAGUUUGACUGGGGCGGUCGCCUCCUAAAGAGUAACGGAGGCGUUCAAAGGUUCGCUCAGCUUGAACGGAAAUCAAGCAAAAGAGUGCAAACGCAGAAGCGAGCCUAACUGCGAGACUGACGGGUCGAGCAGUAACGAAAGUUGGAGUUAGUGAUCCGGUGGUAUGUGAGUGGAAAUGCCAUCGCUCAACGGAUAAAAGUUACCCUGGGGAUAACAGGCUGAUCUCCCCCAAGAGUCCACAUCGACGGGGAGGUUUGGCACCUCGAUGUCGGCUCAUCGCAUUCUGGGGCUGUAUUCGGUCCCAAGGGUUUGGCUGUUCGCCAAUUAAAGCGGUACGCGAGCUGGGUUCAGAACGUCGUGAGACAGUUCGGUCCCUAUCUGUCGUGGGCGCAGGAUAUUUGAUGGGAGCUGUUCCUAGUACGAGAGGACCGGAGCGGACGUACCUCUGGCGCACCAGUUGUUCUGCCAAGGGCAUAGCUGGGCAACUAUGUACGGAUCGGAUAAACGCUGAAAGCAUCUAAGCGUGAAGCCGACCCAAAGAUAAGAUAUCCCAUUGUUUCAAACAAGUAAGACCCCUUGAAGACUACAAGGUUGAUAGGCAUGAUGUGUAAGUGGAGUGAUCCAUUCAGCAAGCAUGUACUAAUAGGUCGAGGGCUUGACC
rnacentral:rRNA from 1 species